CGGCCGCGGUAUUUUGACCGUGCAAAGGUAGCGCAAUCACUUGUCUUUUAAAUAGAGACCUGUAUGAAUGGCCAAACGAGGGCUUAACUGUCUCCCCUUUUCCAGUCAGUGAAAUUGAUCUGCCCGUGCAGAAGCGGGUAUAAUACUACAAGACGAGAAGACCCUUUGGAGCUUAAGGUACAAAACUCAACCACGUAAAGCAACUCAAUGAAAAGAAAAAACUUCGUGGAAAAUGAAAUUUUACCUUCGGUUGGGGCGACCACGGAGGAAAAAAAAGCCUCCAAGUGGACCGGGGCAAAACCCCUAAAACUAAGAGAGACAUCUCUAAGCCACAGAACAUCUGACCAAACAUGAUCCGGCCAACAAAGCCGAUCAACGAACCAAGUUACCCUAGGGAUAACAGCGCAAUCCUCUCCUAGAGUCCAUAUCGACGAGAGGGUUUACGACCUCGAUGUUGGAUCAGGACAUCCUAAUGGUGCAGCCGCUAUUAAGGGUU
rnacentral:rRNA from 1 species